rnacentral:rRNA from 1 species
UGGGGAAUAUUGGACAAUGGGCGCAAGCCUGAUCCAGCCAUGCCGCGUGAGUGAUGAAGGCCCUAGGGUUGUAAAGCUCUUUCACCGGUGAAGAUAAUGACGGUAACCGGAGAAGAAGCCCCGGCUAACUUCGUGCCAGCAGCCGCGGUAAUACGAAGGGGGCUAGCGUUGUUCGGAUUUACUGGGCGUAAAGCGCACGUAGGCGGGCUAAUAAGUCAGGGGUGAAAUCCCGGGGCUCAACCCCGGAACUGCCUUUGAUACUGUUAGUCUUGAGUAUGGUAGAGGUGAGUGGAAUUCCGAGUGUAGAGGUGAAAUUCGUAGAUAUUCGGAGGAACACCAGUGGCGAAGGCGGCUCACUGGACCAUUACUGACGCUGAGGUGCGAAAGCGUGGGGAGCAAA